rnacentral:lncRNA from 1 species
ACGAUGCAUUGUCUUUUUAGUUGCAAUCAUAAAUGUCUUACUAAAGAGAAAUUAUUUAUACACAUUUACUGAAGCUUAACUGAGUGCACACAAAAUAAAGUAACAACAAGUUUGAAAGGAAUAAGGAAAUACAAAGUUGUUUGAUGAUUAUUCUUCUGCAGUGUUGAAGAUCUUGUUUCAGUUACCCGUAUUAGUGGAUCAUCUUUUAAAAUAACACAAUAUAUUUGUCAAAUUGAUUAAUUUGAAAUAUAAACAACUUAACAUA